GCCUUUUCUUGCCCUGGUGCGUUUAAAGGUCUUCCCUUCCAAGCUACUUGGGUCUUGCUCAGCUGCAUGCUUAGCUGUCAGAGGAUCUUAGAAAUGGAUAUUAAAUCAUAGUUCUUUGUGUUCUGGGUCAAAUAGAAGAUGAGAACCUUCCUGGCCAUGGAAACAUGGACACUGUCAUGGGGAAGUUCAGAAGAAGGUUAAAGCAACCUCCCAGAAAAUUUCUUCAAGAGAAGAUAAAAACGUUGCAUCCAGAUUUACAAAUAAGAUGGAAGUGAUUGAACAGUGGAGCCCAUCCUCAGCAGAACGUGUUUUCUAACCCUUUAUAUCAGAAUCCUCAAAAUGCCUCAAAAAAAAAAAAAAAAAAGAUACAGGAAAAGUAGCCUGAAAGUCUGCCACAUAGUAUGGCUUAUGUUAUUUCCAGGGCUAUUUGUACUAAUCUAGAGUCUUACCAGUUAAAUUUUCAACUUCUCCAAAUGGAGAAUACAACAGUUAAAUAAUUUGUUCACAUAGUCACACACAAAGGGCUAAAAUAAAUAAAACUGCUUACUGCUUUAAAAACA
rnacentral:lncRNA from 12 species